rnacentral:rRNA from 1 species
GCUUAACACAUGCAAGUCGAGCGAGAAUCGUUUAUUGAAGGCUUCGGCUGGAAAUAGAUGAGGAAAGCGGCGAACGGGUGAGUAACGCGUGGGCAACCUGGCCUUAAGAAGAGGAUAGCCCCCGGAAACGGGGAGUAAUACUUUAUGAGAAUGAGAGAGGGCAUCCUACUUUCAUUCAAAGCGCAAGCGCUUAAGGAUGGGCCCGCGUAUCAUUAGCUAGUUGGUGAGAUAACAGCCCACCAAGGCAACGAUGAUUAGCCGGUCUGAGAGGGCGAACGGCCACAUUGGAACUGAGAGACGGUCCAAACUCCUACGGGAGGCAGCAGUGGGGAAUAUUGCGCAAUGGAGAAGAACUCUGACGCAGCAAUACCGCGUGAGCGAAGAAGGUCUUCGGAUCGUAAAGCUCUGUUAUCAGGGAAGAAGAAAAUGGCGGUACCUGAUGAGCAAGUCCCGGCUAACUACGUGCCAGCCGCCGCAGUAA